rnacentral:rRNA from 1 species
CCCUACGGGAGGCAGCAGUGGGGAAUUUUGCGCAAUGGGGGAAACCCUGACGCAGCAACGCCGCGUGAGUGAUGAAGGCCUUCGGGUCGUAAAGCUCUGUCUAGAGGAAAGAAAUGUUUGGAGGCUAAUACCCUUUGAACUUGACGGUACCUCUGAAGGAAGCACCGGCUAACUCCGUGCCAGCAGCCGCGGUAAUACGGAGGGUGCGAGCGUUGUUCGGAAUUAUUGGGCGUAAAGCGCGUGUAGGCGGUUUCAUAAGUCUGAUGUGAAAGCCCCGGGCUCAACCUGGGAAGUGCAUUGGAUACUGUGAGACUUGAGUACGGGAGAGGGUAGUGGAAUUCCUAGUGUAGGAGUGAAAUCCGUAGAUAUUAGGAGGAACACCGGUGGCGAAGGCGGCUACCUGGACCGAUACUGACGCUGAGACGCGAAAGCGUGGGGAGCAAACAGGAUUAGAUACCCCUGUAC